GCGGCGGUUGGGCUUGUUGGUUGGCCCGCCUGACUGUAAAUCAGGUGUUUCGACAUCGGGGGUUCGAUUCCCUCUCGCCGUAC
rnacentral:tRNA from 1 species